UCCAGCUCCGCGCGUUCCCGCCCGAGGGUCCCGCGUCCCCGCGCUCCCGCCCAAGGACGCGGGAACCACCGUCGAUCCGUUCGCCCCGGGGAACAGCCGCUCCCGCCCCGCCCCCUCCCGUCUGGGCCGCUCCGAGCGUCGACGGCUCCCGGGACCCAGCUGGGCGCGGGCUCGGGAACCGUAUCCUUGGGGUUUUCUUUCCUUUGCUCCGGGAUGCGAGUGGCACUUUCUCAUGUUUCUGCGGCCUUUCUCCCUCCCCACCCUGAGUGUCGUCUUUGGUGCCCCGCGGGCAGGUCAGACUCUCCGAUGCCACCUGCCGCUGGUACCCGCAGAAACGCCACACCGACUGCAGACACACCAAGGCGGGUAGGGCAGCCCGUGUCUCCCGGGCUGAUGGGGAGGUGGCAAAUCCACAGGAGGUGGUGACGUUCGACUACUCCAGCCACUUCGCCGAGCGAGUAAAGCACUGGACCCAUGAUGUGGCUGUUCUGACGUCAACUUGUUCCCAGAAUCUCUGCACACCCCAUGCCUUCUUCCCAGGAACUGCAGGGCAGGAGAUGGGGCGUACCAGGGUGAGAGCAGGGGUAAGAGCAGAGAAACUGUCUCCCAUCAAGUUAAUGUUCAGCAGACUGCCACUCACCAGAUUUCUUGAAGGAGGUAGCUGACCCCGUCUACCUGAAGAGCAAACAGAAAAGUUCAAGGACAGGCUGGCCCUACUGAGAGCCAAGAGUGGGAACUCGGCUCCAACUCUCCAUUGGUAACCAAGGACGACUGAUUCAUAAUGAAAAAAAUCAAAGCCUGGGCAAGGGCCUGUUUUUGCAUCUGGACCACAGCAUUCUCUGCCUCCCAACCAAGUGCUCCAUACCCCCUGCAUGAUGGCCUACCCCUCAGCCCUCUCCUUCAUCCUCCAUGACCACAUUAACUCUAGUGAUAAAUCUGAUAUCUCCUCCUACCUCUGCAAGAGUGAAAAGAAAAGUGCUGGCACACAUUAGGGGUUAGGAUUUGUGGCAGACAUACAGAUAAUCUGUUGAUCCUUCUGGUAUGGGCAGAUAGCCAGCAAACCGAAUUUUAGAAAAUGAAUGGUGGGAUAAAUUAAGAUAGGAGGUUUAUUUGGCCCUGAAUUGGACCCUGAUACUUUAUACUUUUGCUGGAAAUGUUUCUUGCCCAGCAUUUUAAAU